AUUGAACGCUGGCGGCAGGCCUAACACAUGCAAGUCGAAUGGUAACAGGAAACAGCUUGCUGUUUCGCUGACGAGUGGCGGACGGGUGAGUAAUGUCUGGGAAACUGCCUGAUGGAGGGGGAUAACUACUGGAAACGGUAGCUAAUACCGCAUAACGUCGCAAGACCAAAGAGGGGGACCUUCGGGCCUCUUGCCAUCAGAUGUGCCCAGAUGGGAUUAGCUAGUAGGUGGGGUAACGGCUCACCUAGGCGACGAUCCCUAGCUGGUCUGAGAGGAUGACCAGCCACACUGGAACUGGGACACGGUCCAGACUCCUACGGGAGGCAGCAGUGGGGAAUAUUGCACAAUGGGCGCAAGCCUGAUGCAGCCAUGCCGCGUGUAUGAAGAAGGCCUUCGGGUUGUAAAGUACUUUCAGCGGGGAGGAAGGGAGUAAAGUUAAUACCUUUGCUCAUGGACGUUACCCGCAGAAGAAGCACCGGCUAACUCCGU
rnacentral:rRNA from 1 species